AAACCAGCACAACUUGGAUCGAUUUGCUUGCAUGUCUGUACCUAGCCAUCGUGGUAGCCAAGAGGUGCUGGGUUGAAUAUAAAUGGGGAAUAGCAGCAGUUGGGUUGUUUCCGUACGUAACGCAGGAGGGCACAACAUCUCAAGGUUAGAAGGGCCCUCAAGGUUUAUGCCUGAAACCUUCCAGUCUGGAGCGGGAUACGCUACCCUUGCGCUGUGCAUGGAGCUGAGCGAGGGUCACAACAUCAGGUGGGGUACCCUCUCCUCCCGGGGCUCUUGCACACCUGUUUGCUCAUCCAGAUGCCUCGAGGCACCUGCGGGAAACCGGCCGGCGAGCAAAUCUCCAUGCACAUGCCUGUCUUCUUGUUGCAGCGGCGCGUGGCGAGAUCCCCGCAGCUGCAGAGAAACACGCAUGGAGUUAAAUCAACUUUGCUGAGAGCGGAGCAGAGGGAGCAGGAAUCCGACUAUAAACACAGCGGGGCGAGAGCGUCCGACGGAGCCGCUUUCCUCUGCCUCUCCCUGCCCUCUGGCUCUUUCUCCACAUUUCCCUCCUUCCUUCCCUGCUCUCUUUCUCUCCCCCUCUUCUCUGCUGCUCUUCCCCUUUGCAAAUCCAGCGCCCUUUCUGAGCCGAGCGUCCUCUACCCCUCGCAUGGCUCAAAUGAUAGUGCCCCCCCUCCCUCCAGCCCUAAUUGUUCCUUUAUUGCUGCUGUUAAGCCAGUGAAUCCAGAUUUAAUUAAAAAGAAAAGAAAAGAAAACCCUGCAACAACCAGGGCCUGGACACAGGGGAGGAAGAGUGAUUGGCAGCCUCAUAGGAAAGUGAGCAGCAGACUGCAAGCCACCAGCUGUCCCGUCGCCAGCCUUUGGAUAGCAGCGCUGACCCCGAGCGAGGCCUUCAUCAGGUCCUCUAGAAGUGGAGGCUCCUUCAUGCUAUUUCCAUGGCUUCCAAGUAGCACGGUAAUCGGCUCCACCUGCCAAUAAUUCAUCUCCCCGUCAACUGAAGGCCCCAGCAUGUCCAUCCAGCACCUCCUGAAAAUCCUGCAUCUGGGGUGACCUCUGAGGUCUUUUGCAAAUCUAUGCCAUAUUUUAUAGAUAAUCGUCCAACUAACAGAUUUAUUUUUUUGUUUUGGUUUAGAAAAAGUCCAAAUGACAAUUUUUUGGACAACUUGAAAACUUUAUUUUUUUUUUAAAUUGUAAGUAAAAAUAAAUUAUAAUAAUAAUC